rnacentral:rRNA from 1 species
GUCCACGCCCUAAACCAUGAGAACUCGGUGUAGGGGGAAUCGACCCCCCCUGUGCCUUAGCUUACGCGUUAAGUUCUCCGCCUGGGUAGUACGGUCGCAAGAUUAAAACUCAAAGGAAUAGACGGGGACCCACACAAGCGGUGGAGCAUGUUGUUCAAUUCGACGGUAAACGGGAACCUUACCCAGGCUUGACAUCUCGGGAAUUCUGCCGAAAGGUGGAAGUGCCGCAAGGAACCCGAAGACAGGUGCUGCAUGGUUGUCGU